rnacentral:misc_RNA from 1 species
GAUGAAGAACGUAGCGAAAUGCGAUAAGUAAUGUGAAUUGCAGAAUUCAGUGAAUCAUCGAAUCUUUGAACGCACAUUGCGCCCGCCAGUAUUCUGGCGAGCAUGCCUGUUCGAGCGUCAUUUCUACCAUCAAGCCCCAGGCUUGUGUUGGAGCCCUGCGGCUGCCGCAGCCUCCCAAAACCAGUGGCGGGCUCGCUAUCACACCGAGUGCAGUAGUUUACUCUUCGCUCAGGGCGUGUGGCGGGUGCUAGCCGUGAAACCCCCAACUUCUCAAGGUUGACCUCGGAUCAGGUAGGAAUACCCGCUGAACUUAAGCAUAUCAAUAAGCGGAGGA